AUUCCAGCUCCAAUAGCGUAUAUUAAAGUUGUUGCAGUUAAAAAGCUCGUAGUUGAAUUUCUGGUGGGAGUGUACAGUCCGACACUGAGUGUUGGUUCUUGUGUGUCUCCGGCCAUCCUUGGAGUGAAUCUGUCUGGCAUUUAGUUGUUGGGCAGAGUAUCUCCAUCGUUUACUGUGAGGAAAGGAAAGUGUUCAAAGCAGGCUUACGCCGUUGAAUCUUUUAGCAUGGAAUAAUAAGAUAGGAUCUUGAUACUAUUUUGUUGGUUUUCGGAAAUCGAGUUAAUGAUUAACAGGGACAAUUGGGGGCAUUAGUAUUCAGACGACAGAGGUGAAAUUCUCAGACCAGCGGAAGACGAACCACUGCGAAAGCAUUUGCCAGGGAUGUUUUCAUUG
rnacentral:rRNA from 1 species